GGGAACUGAAACAUCUAAGUACCCCGAGGAAAAGAAAUCAACCGAGAUUCCCCCAGUAGCGGCGAGCGAACGGGGAGCAGCCCAGAGCCUGAAUCAGUGUGUGUGUUAGUGGAAGCGUCUGGAAAGGCGUGCGAUACAGGGUGACAGCCCCGUACACAAAAAUGCACAUACUGUGAGCUCGAUGAGUAGGGCGGGACACGUGGUAUCCUGUCUGAAUAUGGGGGGACCAUCCUCCAAGGCUAAAUACUCCUGACUGACCGAUAGUGAACCAGUACCGUGAGGGAAAGGCGAAAAGAACCCCGGCGAGGGGAGUGAAAAAGAACCUGAAACCGUGUACGUACAAGCAGUGGGAGCACGCUUAGGCGUGUGACUGCGUACCUUUUGUAUAAUGGGUCAGCGACUUAUAUUCUGUAGCAAGGUUAACCGAAUAGGGGAGCCGAAGGGAAACCGAGUCUUAACUGGGCGUUAAGUUGCAGGGUAUAGACCCGAAACCCGGUGAUCUAGCCAUGGGCAGGUUGAAGGUUGGGUAACACUAACUGGAGGACCGAACCGACUAAUGUUGAAAAAUUAGCGGAUGACUUGUGGCUGGGGGUGAAAGGCCAAUCAAACCGGGAGAUAGCUGGUUCUCCCCGAAAGCUAUUUAGGUAGCGCCUCGUGAAUUCAUCUCCGGGGGUAGAGCACUGUUUCGGCAAGGGGGUCAUCCCGACUUACCAACCCGAUGCAAACUGCGAAUACCGGAGAAUGUUAUCACGGGAGACACACGGCGGGUGCUAACGUCCGUCGUGAAGAGGGAAACAACCCAGACCGCCAGCUAAGGUCCCAAAGUCAUGGUUAAGUGGGAAACGAUGUGGGAAGGCCCAGACAGCCAGGAUGUUGGCUUAGAAGCAGCCAUCAUUUAAAGAAAGCGUAAUAGCUCACUGGUCGAGUCGGCCUGCGCGGAAGAUGUAACGGGGCUAAACCAUGCACCGAAGCUGCGGCAGCGACGCUUAUGCGUUGUUGGGUAGGGGAGCGUUCUGUAAGCCUGUGAAGGUGUGCUGUGAGGUAUGCUGGAGGUAUCAGAAGUGCGAAUGCUGACAUAAGUAACGAUAAAGCGGGUGAAAAGCCCGCUCGCCGGAAGACCAAGGGUUCCUGUCCAACGUUAAUCGGGGCAGGGUGAGUCGACCCCUAAGGCGAGGCCGAAAGGCGUAGUCGAUGGGAAACAGGUUAAUAUUCCUGUACUUGGUGUUACUGCGAAGGGGGGACGGAGAAGGCUAUGUUGGCCGGGCGACGGUUGUCCCGGUUUAAGCGUGUAGGCUGGUUUUCCAGGCAAAUCCGGAAAAUCAAGGCCGAGGCGUGAUGACGAGGCACUACGGUGCUGAAGCAACAAAUGCCCUGCUUCCAGGAAAAGCCUCUAAGCAUCAGGUAACAUCAAAUCGUACCCCAAACCGACACAGGUGGUCAGGUAGAGAAUACCAAGGCGCUUGAGAGAACUCGGGUGAAGGAACUAGGCAAAAUGGUGCCGUAACUUCGGGAGAAGGCACGCUGAUACGUAGGUGAAGCGACUUGCUCGUGGAGCUGAAAUCAGUCGAAGAUACCAGCUGGCUGCAACUGUUUAUUAAAAACACAGCACUGUGCAAACACGAAAGUGGACGUAUACGGUGUGACGCCUGCCCGGUGCCGGAAGGUUAAUUGAUGGGGUUAGCGCAAGCGAAGCUCUUGAUCGAAGCCCCGGUAAACGGCGGCCGUAACUAUAACGGUCCUAAGGUAGCGAAAUUCCUUGUCGGGUAAGUUCCGACCUGCACGAAUGGCGUAAUGAUGGCCAGGCUGUCUCCACCCGAGACUCAGUGAAAUUGAACUCGCUGUGAAGAUGCAGUGUACCCGCGGCAAGACGGAAAGACCCCGUGAACCUUUACUAUAGCUUGACACUGAACAUUGAGCCUUGAUGUGUAGGAUAGGUGGGAGGCUUUGAAGUGUGGACGCCAGUCUGCAUGGAGCCGACCUUGAAAUACCACCCUUUAAUGUUUGAUGUUCUAACGUGGACCCGUGAUCCGGGUUGCGGACAGUGUCUGGUGGGUAGUUUGACUGGGGCGGUCUCCUCCUAAAGAGUAACGGAGGAGCACGAAGGUUGGCUAAUCCUGGUCGGACAUCAGGAGGUUAGUGCAAUGGCAUAAGCCAGCUUGACUGCGAGCGUGACGGCGCGAGCAGGUGCGAAAGCAGGUCAUAGUGAUCCGGUGGUUCUGAAUGGAAGGGCCAUCGCUCAACGGAUAAAAGGUACUCCGGGGAUAACAGGCUGAUACCGCCCAAGAGUUCAUAUCGACGGCGGUGUUUGGCACCUCGAUGUCGGCUCAUCACAUCCUGGGGCUGAAGUAGGUCCCAAGGGUAUGGCUGUUCGCCAUUUAAAGUGGUACGCGAGCUGGGUUUAGAACGUCGUGAGACAGUUCGGUCCCUAUCUGCCGUGGGCGCUGGAGAACUGAGGGGGGCUGCUCCUAGUACGAGAGGACCGGAGUGGACGCAUCACUGGUGUUCGGGUUGUCAUGCCAAUGGCACUGCCCGGUAGCUAAAUGCGGAAGAGAUAAGUGCUGA
rnacentral:rRNA from 1 species